UACAGAGGGUGCGAGCGUUGUCCGGAAUCACUGGGCGUAAAGGGCGCGUAGGCGGCUCGGUCAGCGUGCGGUGAAAGCCCGGGGCUCAACCCCGGGUCGGCCGUGCGAACUGCUGGGCUGGAGCACUGUAGAGGCAGGUGGAAUUCCGGGUGUAGCGGUGGAAUGCGUAGAGAUCCGGAAGAACACCGGUGGCGAAGGCGGCCUGCUGGGGCUGUUGCUGACGCUGAGGCGCGACAGCGUGGGGAGCAAACAGGAUUAGAUAC
rnacentral:rRNA from 1 species